CGCCUCUUGAACCCAUCACAUAAGAGGUCCUGCCUGCCCGGUGACGCAAGUUUAACGGCCGCGGUAUUUUGACCGUGCAAAGGUAGCGCAAUCACUUGUCUUUUAAAUGAAGACCCGUAUGAAUGGCAAAACGAGGGCAUAACUGUCUCCCUUUUCAGACCAAUGAAAUUGAUCUCCCCGUGCAGAAGCGGGGGUGUAAACAUAAGACGAGAAGACCCUGUGGAGCUUUAGACAAAAGACAGGCCAUGACCAUCAUUUCUAAUCAAAGUAAAGAACCCAACUACGUGCUGUCCUAUUGUCUUCGGUUGGGGCGACCACGGAGAAUAGAAAAUCCUCCGCACAGAACGAAACCAUCUCCAUUUAAACUACGAGCCACAACUCUAAGUAACAAAACCUUUGACUGAAAAGGAUCCGGUACAAACCGAUCAAUGAACCAAGUUACCCCAGGGAUAACAGCGCAAUCUCCUUUUAGAGCCCAUAUCGACAAGGGGGUUUACGACCUCGAUGUUGGAUCAGGACAUCCUAAUGGUGCAGCCGCUAUUAAGGGUUCGUUUGUUCAACGAUUAACAGUCCU
rnacentral:rRNA from 1 species